CCUACGGGUGGCAGCAGUGAGGAAUAUUGGUCAAUGGACGAGAGUCUGAACCAGCCAAGUAGCGUGAAGGAUGACUGCCCUAUGGGUUGUAAACUUCUUUUAUAUGGGAAUAAAACGUUCCACGUGUGGGAUUUUGUAUGUACCAUAUGAAUAAGGAUCGGCUAACUCCGUGCCAGCAGCCGCGGUAAUACGGAGGAUCCGAGCGUUAUCCGGAUUUAUUGGGUUUAAAGGGAGCGUAGGUGGAUUGUUAAGUCAGUUGUGAAAGUUUGCGGCUCAACCGUAAAAUUGCAGUUGAAACUGGCAGUCUUGAGUACAGUAGAGGUGGGCGGAAUUCGUGGUGUAGCGGUGAAAUGCUUAGAUAUCACGAAGAACUCCGAUUGCGAAGGCAGUUCACUGGACUGCAACUGACACUUAGGCUCGAAAGUGUGGGUAUCAAACAGGAUUAGAUACCCCAGUAGUC
rnacentral:rRNA from 1 species